ACUGCGGAGGAUCAUUACUGAACUGUCAACACGAGUUGUUGCUGGUCCUCAAACGGGGACAUGUGCACGCUCUGUUUACAUACCCACUCACACCUGUGCACCCUCUGUAGUUCCGUGGUGCGGGGGGCUCUGUCCUCCUGCCGUGGUUCUAUGUCUUUACAUACACACAGUGAUAAAGUCUUAUGGAAUGUAUGUCGCGUUUAACGCAAUACAAUACAACUUUCAGCAACGGAUCUCUUGGCUCUCGCAUCGAUGAAGAACGCAGCGAAAUGCGAUAAGUAAUGUGAAUUGCAGAAUUCAGUGAAUCAUCGAAUCUUUGAACGCACCUUGCGCCCUUUGGCUAUUCCGAAGGGCAUGCCUGUUUGAGUAUCAUGAACACCUCAACUCUCAUGGUUUGCCAUGAUGAGCUUGGACUUUGGGGGUCUUGCUGGCUUAUGGUCGGCUCCUCUCAAACAAAUCAGCUUGCCAGUGUUUGGUGGGAUCAUGGGUGUGAUAACUAUCUACGCUUGUGUAUUUCCGUCAAGUAACCUUCAGCAAUGGAGGUUCGCUGGGGCUCAUAAAUGUCUCUCCUCAGCGAGGACAGCUCUUUUGAAUGUUUGAUCUC
rnacentral:misc_RNA from 1 species